rnacentral:lncRNA from 1 species
CCUUGGUCCUCCUCUGUUCCAUUUGUUCUUUGUUCAUUACCUAGAUAGAAGCUGUUGAUUAUAAUUGCUUUUUUCUUUUUCUGCUGUAACUCAUAUUUUUUCCUUCUCCCCCACUUGCCUUCCUUCCCCCCAUCCCCUGGUCAUUGACUGUUAUCUUGAUACUUCCUUAUUUGUUGGAUCUGUAGGUUUGGGCUAUUCUUAUCUGAAGGAGUUUCUUCUCUGCUCUGUUGAUUGACUAGAUUAGGCUGAUGGAGUAUUAAUGAACCCUGAGAACAGAUCUUCCCCAGUUGCCAGCAGAAACUAAAGGUAUAGGUGCAGGUGUGGAGGCUGAAGGUAGUUACCCUUGUACUCCUCUCUCUUCUUUUCUGCUUACUUCCUCCCUGCCAGCUGCUCAGUCAGAGCCCUGAGCUUCCUGCCAUUGUACCAAGGUACUCUGUAGUGGUUCCACCCUUUACCCUGGAAUUCCAGUCAGCCUGAUUCUUACCUCAGCUCUCAGGACAGUUGGUGGGGCAGGGGUAUGGAUAUUGAGCUUCCCUGCCCCCUGAAGGCUUCUUAUCUACCCUAUUGAUAGACUGGAUUAAGUGGGUCAGAGCUGAUCUGCAGAGCUGAAUGUGCCCUGAGACAAAAACCUCUAAAGGGAGAGGCCCAAGGUGGAGAUUGGUGACUGAAAGUUGCAACCAGGCUGUGCCUCUCCUCCAGAUGCCUCCCUUCUGGCUGUGGACAGAUCCCUGAGCCUCAAAUAGUUGUGGUAACAAGGCACUUCUUCUGGGCUGGAGCCCUUGCCCCCAAAUCCUACCAAUUGCCUGAGUCUCAGCACAAUUGGGUUGAUGAACUAAGGAACUCAGCACUCAAUUUUGCCUCUUCCUUCUUAUCAAGCUGGACUGAAUGGAAAGAGGAAGCUAUGGAAGCAUAUAAGCACCCCUUGGAACUGGACGGCAUUUGCUAUGUUCCCUAUCUUGCUUAGCUACUCAUAUUUAUCUUUAAAAACUAUUUCCCUCUGCUUGGUCGUUUGUGGCAUACAAGAACUCUGUAUGCCUUUUCUGUAGUGGAAUCCUCAGAAAUGUACCCAAGGUCGGCCAGCCAGUUAGGCACCAUUCAGUGACACAGUAUACAGGACAUUCCACUGGACAGUUUUAAUUUGCUUUCUGUAUAUGAGACUCUUUGAGCUCUGCCUAGACAGCAAGAUGCGACACUAACGCAGCACAUUGAAGGCUUAGUGUUCCCUUAAUUCUCUCCUGUCCGUCCUGUGUAACUAGCAGUCACACAACGAUCGCUUUAUGCCAAUUGUAGGCUCUCUGUGAUAUGCCAAGUCAUCAAAAAUAUAUUUGGGGCUGGAUGUGACCAUCUGAUUCUUGUCACUUAAUUUCCACAUACGUCCAUGUUUUCAAAGCUACACCGUAAGUACAUUAAGCUACUGCAUUCCCUAGCAACCCGCCCACACCACUGAUUUAUUCAGAUGUGUUCUGUGAAAAUGUCGAACCUUUAUGUGGAGAAAUUUCUUGGGAAGGUAUUUUUGGUAUGACUUCAGUUCCUUAAAUCCACUCUAUAAUCUUUUCCCACUGACGGAAGAAACCUUACAAUGAAUGCUGAUUUCAACAUUAGUUUUAGAGGAAACUCUGUGGGCUUGAUAUUUCUUAAAUGCAACCAU